rnacentral:misc_RNA from 1 species
GAUGAAGAACGCAGCGAAAUGCGAUAAGUAAUGUGAAUUGCAGAAUUCAGUGAAUCAUCGAAUCUUUGAACGCACCUUGCGCUCCUUGGUAUUCCGAGGAGCAUGCCUGUUUGAGUGUCAUUAAAUUCUCAACCUCAUCAGUUUUGUUAUGAAGCUGUGUGAGGCUUGGAUGUGGGGGUUUGUGCAGGCUGCCUCAGUGCGGUCUGCUCCCCUGAAAUGUAUUAGCGAGUUCCAACUGGGCUCCGUCUAUUGGUGUGAUAAUUAUCUACGCCGUGGAUUGGGCUUAGACUUGCUUCUAACCGUCCGCAAGGACAAUCUUUUGACAAUUUGACCUCAAAUCAGGUAGGACUACCCGCUGAACUUAAGCAUAUCAAUAAGCGGAGGA